UACGUAGGGUGCAAGCGUUGUCCGGAAUUAUUGGGCGUAAAGAGCUCGUAGGCGGCCUGUUGCGUCGGCUGUGAAAACCCGGGGCUCAACCCCGGGCCUGCAGCCGAUACGGGCAGACUAGAGUUCGGCAGGGGAGACUGGAAUUCCUGGUGUAGCGGUGAAAUGCGCAGAUAUCAGGAGGAACACCGGUGGCGAAGGCGGGUCUCUGGGCCGAUACUGACGCUGAGGAGCGAAAGCGUGGGGAGCGAACAGG
rnacentral:rRNA from 1 species